AAUUUAGUGACACAGAGAACACUAGCAUGGACCCUGCACAAGGAUGACACUCAAAUUCAUGAAGCAUUCCAUAUUACA
rfam:Canis lupus familiaris chromosome 36, whole genome shotgun sequence.